GACGAACGCUGGCGGCGUGCUUAACACAUGCAAGUCGAACGGAAAGGCCCUGCUUUUGUGGGGUGCUCGAGUGGCGAACGGGUGAGUAACACGUGAGUAACCUGCCCUUGACUUUGGGAUAACUUCAGGAAACUGGGGCUAAUACCGGAUAGGAGCUCCUGCUGCAUGGUGGGGGUUGGAAAGUUUCGGCGGUUGGGGAUGGACUCGCGGCUUAUCAGCUUGUUGGUGGGGUAGUGGCUUACCAAGGCUUUGACGGGUAGCCGGCCUGAGAGGGUGACCGGCCACAUGGGGACUGGGAUACGGCCCAGACUCCUACGGGGGGAAGAAGGGGGGAAAAUGGCAAAAGGGGCGGAGGCCUGAUGCAGCAACGCGGCGGGCGGGAUGACGGCCUUGGGGUGGUAAACCGCUUUCGCCUGUGACGAAGCGUGAGUGACGGUAAUGGGUAAAGAAGCACCGGCUAACUACGU
rnacentral:rRNA from 1 species